UUUCAAAUUCAGGCAACUUCACAUUAAAAAGGUAAGUUUCAUUCUUUAUUUUUAGUUUAAGAACACUACUUUCAAGUUUAUUUAUUUAUUUACUAUCCCGCCUUUAUUAUUUUUAUAAAUAACUCAAGGCGGCGAACAU